CCUACGGGAGGCAGCAGUGAGGAAUAUUGGUCAAUGGGCGAAAGCCUGAACCAGCCAAGUCGCGUGCGGGAUGACGGCCCUACGGGUUGUAAACUUCUUUUAUACGGGAAUAACACGCCUUACGCGUACGGCUUUGCGAGUACCCGAUGAAAAAGGACCGGCUAACUCCGUGCCAGCAGCCGCGGUAAUACGGAAGGUCCGGGCGUUAUCCGGAUUUAUUGGGUUUAAAGGGAGCGUAGGCGGCAUGUCAAGCGUGCUGUAAAAUGUCCGGGCUCAACCCGGGCCUUGCAGCGCGAACUGGCGUGCUUGAGUGCGCGGAAAGUAGGCGGAAUUCGUGGUGUAGCGGUGAAAUGCAUAGAUAUGACGAAGAACUCCGAUUGCGAAGGCAGCUUACUGGAGCGGAACUGACGCUGAGGCACGAAAGCGUGGGUAUCGAACAGGAUUAGAUACCCGAGUAGUC
rnacentral:rRNA from 1 species